GGUUUAAUUCGAUGAUACGCGAGGAACCUUACCCGGGCUUGAAUUGCAGAGGAAGGAUUUGGAGACAAUGACGCCCCUUCGGGGUCUCUGUGAAGGUGCUGCAUGGUUGUCGUCAGCUCGUGCCGUGAGGUGUCGGCUUAAGUGCCAUAACGAGCGCAACCCCUCUCCUUAGUUGCCAUCAGGUGAAGCUGGGCACUCUGGGGACACUGCCACCGUAAGGUGUGAGGAAGGUGGGGAUGA
rnacentral:rRNA from 1 species